GUGCUUGCUUCAGCAGUGCAUUUACUAAAAUUGGAACAAUACGGAGAAGAUUAACAUGGCCCCUGCACAAAAUUUUUUUCAAUAUGGUACUAGAAAUGUUA
rnacentral:snRNA from 1 species